rnacentral:rRNA from 1 species
GACGAACGCUGGCGGCGUGCUUAACACAUGCAAGUCGAACGGAAAGGCCCCUUUCGGGGGGUACUCGAGUGGCGAACGGGUGAGUAACACGUGAGUAACCUGCCCUUGACUUUGGGAUAACUUCAGGAAACUGGGGCUAAUACCGGAUAGGAGCUCCUGCUGCAUGGUGGGGUGGGGAGAGUUUUGGCGGUUGGGGAUGGUCUCGCGGCUUAUCAGCUUGUUGGUGGGGUAGUGGCUUACCAAGGCUUUGACGGGUAGCCGGCCUGAGAGGGUGACCGGCCACAUUGGGACUGAGAUACGGCCCAGACUCCUACGGGAGGCAGCAGUGGGGAAUAUUGCACAAUGGGUGGAAGCCUGAUGCAGCAACGCCGUGUGCGGGAGGACGGCCUUCGGGUUGGAAACCGCUUUCGCUCAUGACGAAGCUUUGUGUGACGGUAGUGGGUAAAGAAGCACCGGCUAACUACGUG